UACGGAGGGGGCUAGCGUUGUUCGGAAUUACUGGGCGUAAAGCGCACGUAGGCGGAACAGAAAGUCAGAGGUGAAAUCCCAGGGCUCAACCUUGGAACUGCCUUUGAAACUCCUGUUCUUGAGGUCGAGAGAGGUGAGUGGAAUUCCGAGUGUAGAGGUGAAAUUCGUAGAUAUUCGGAGGAACACCAGUGGCGAAGGCGGCUCACUGGCUCGAUACUGACGCUGAGGUGCGAAAGCGUGGGGAGCAAACAGG
rnacentral:rRNA from 1 species